rnacentral:rRNA from 1 species
UACGUAGGUGGCAAGCGUUACUCGGAAUCACUAGGCGUAAAGCGCAGGUAUGCGGUUCGGUAAGUCUGUUGUGAAAGCUCCCGGCUCAACUGGGAGAGGUCAACAGAAACUGCUGGGCUAGAGUGUGGUAGAGGAAGCUGGAAUUCCCGGUGUAGCGGUGAAAUGCGUAGAGAUCGGGAGGAACACCUAUGGCGAAAGCAGGCUUCUGGGCCAUCACUGACGCUGAUCUGCGAAAGCUAGGGGAGCAAACAGG